rnacentral:rRNA from 1 species
UACGGAGGAUGCGAGCGUUAUCCGGCUUUAUUGGGUUUAAAGGGUGCGCAGGCGGCGAGUUAAGUCAGCGGUAAAAUUUCGGGGCUCAACCCCGACAAGCCGUUGAAACUGGCUUGCUAGAGUUGGGGAAAGGCAGGCGGAAUGCGCGGUGUAGCGGUGAAAUGCAUAGAUAUCGCGCAGAACCCCGAUUGCGAAGGCAGCCUGCCGGCCCCACACUGACGCUGAGGCACGAAAGCGUGGGUAUCGAACAGG